rnacentral:snoRNA from 1 species
AACGCAAAAUUCACGGCCACGCGCAGCACAUACAGCAUUCCCUUGAGGUCGAACCCCGCCUGGGAGUUCUUGGCCCAUGACAAGCGUGAAUUGUGUUGCCUUCCUCGUGAAGAUUUGACCUGGACCGAAGACGAAAGUUAUUGAUCUUGGGUGCAGCGGUCCAUGUUGUUUGCUUGUCAAACUUAAGGGAUUACCUUCGUGUGCCCGUAUGGGGAUUGCUGCAAUGAUCGAUAACACAUUU